UGGGGAAUAUUGGGCAAUGGGCGCAAGCCUGACCCAGCAACGCCGCGUGAAGGAAGAAGGCUCUCGGGUUGUAAACUUCUUUAUCAGGGACGAAACAAAUGACGGUACCUGAUGAAUAAGCCACGGCUAACCUACGUGCCAGCAGCCGCGGUAAUACGUAGGUGGCAAGCGUUAUCCGGAUUUACUGGGUGUAAAGGGCGUGUAGGCGGGAUGGUAAGUCAGAUGUGAAAACUAUGGGCUCAACCCAUAGCCUGCAUUUGAAAACUAUCGUUCUUGAGUGCUGGAGAGGCAAUCGGAAUUCCGUGUGUAGCGGUGAAAUGCGUAGAUAUACGGAGGAACACCAGUGGCGAAGGCGGAUUGCUGGACAGUAACUGACGCUGAGGCGCGAAAAGCGUGGGGAAGCAAACAGGAUUAGAUACCC
rnacentral:rRNA from 1 species